rnacentral:rRNA from 1 species
CACGCAGUAAACGAUGAUUACUAGGAGUUUGCGAUAGACAGUAAGCUCCCGAGCGAAAGCGUUAAGUAAUCCACCUGGGGAGUACGCCGGCAACGGUGAAACUCAAAGGAAUUGACGGGGGCCCGCACAAGCGGAGGAACAUGUGGUUUAAUUCGAUGAUACGCGAGGAACCUUACCCGGGCUCGAACGGUGCAGGAAUACAGGAGAGAUUCUGUAGCAUAGCAAUAUGUCUGCAUCGAGGUGC